CAAGAUCGAUUUCAGGUCAUGCGGAAGCUGUUCUUUAUGUUUCAUUUAUUCCUGAUGGCAAGCAAUUAGCAAGUGGGUUAGGGAACACCAUUGUUAGGCUUUUGGAUCUUAAAAGUGAAACACCAUUGUUUACUUUCAAAUGUUAAAAGGUUCCCUCGCUAUCUUCCUGCAUUUUACUCCCCUCUGUAGCUUUCUAUUAAUAGUUAUAAAUUUUGUGUAAAUGAGUAAAAAGAAGAGCAGUUUUGGAAACUCGUUUACUAAUUAAAUUAGUAAACUUUUGUGUUUAAUUAUUUGUUAGCUUUACGUGUAUAUAUAUGUUCAGAUGUGGGGAAAGAUGCUUCUUACUACGUUUCUCAGAUAAUACUUUCACUACAAGUUUCAUUACUACCAUUGAGUAUCUCUUCUUCUACAAUGGUGGUUUACUUAAAGAUUAUCUAAUUACAUUUGUGUCUAAGUUUGUGUAUUACUACCUUUUUUUUCCUGUUCCAGAAUUGACUUCAAGAUAAGAACUGUUGAACUUAAUGGGAAGCGUAUCAAUAACGUUUUAAAACUAUAACUACAGAGAAGAAGAAACAUACUCGGAUUCUGGAAACAACAUCUCUUUGGAAGGGAUUUCUGCAGAAAUUUGUCAACCCACCCAUCUGCAUCAAGAUCAGAGAUGACUUCCCUGUUUAUAGAGUCGAUUAUGAAUACUGAUAAAAUGUUAGUUUGAUACCCUUGAAGGCGAUCAUGGAGACUGCGAAUAUGUUGAGUAACGCAAAGAACCAAGUCGUAAAAGCAAAUCCUGUCGCUCUUAGUUUCUCUGAAGAUUUCAGCACCAUGCUUAUGAUCCCAAGCCUGUGACACUGACACACACCACCAAUUUUGUAAACUAAUUACUCUGCUUUAUAACAACUCAAAAAGUGUACACACACACACCAAUUUUGUAAACUAAUUACUCUGCUU